rnacentral:rRNA from 1 species
CAGUCGAGCGAAGCGAUUUAAAUGAGACUUCGGUGGAUUUUAAAUUGACUGAGCGGCUGACGGGUGAGUAACGCGUGGAUAACCUGCCUCACACAGGGGGAUAACAGUUAGAAAUGACUGCUAAUACCGCAUAAGCGCACGGUACCGCAUGGUACAGUGUGAAAAACUCCGGUGGUGUGAGAUGGAUCCGCGUCUGAUUAGGUAGUUGGUGAGGUAACGGCCCACCAAGCCGACGAUCAGUAGCCGACCUGAGAGGGUGAUCGGCCACAUUGGGACUGAGACACGGCCCAAACUCCUACGGGAGGCAGCAGUGGGGAAUAUUGCACAAUGGGCGAAAGCCUGAUGCAGCAACGCCGCGUGAGUGAAGAAGUAUCUCGGUAUGUAAAGCUCUAUCAGCAGGGAAGAAAAUGACGGUACCUGACUAAGAAGCCCCGGCUAACUACGCGCCAGCAGCCGCGGUAAUACGUAGGGGGCAAGCGUUAUCCGGAUUUACUGGGUGUAAAGGGAGCGCAGACGGCACUGCAAGUCUGAAGUGAAAGCCCGGGGCUCAACCCCGGGACUGCUUUGGAAACUGUAGAGCUAGAGUGCUGGAGAGGCAAGCGGAAUUCCUAGUGUAGCGGUGAAAUGCGUAGAUAUUAGGAAGAACACCAGUGGCGAAGGCGGCUUGCUGGACAGUAACUGACGUUCAGGCUCGAAAGCGUGGGGAGCAAACAGGAUUAGAUACCCUGGUAGUCCACGCUGUAAACGAUGAAUACUAGGUGUUGGUGGGCAAAGCCCAUCGGUGCCGCCGCAAACGCAAUAAGUAUUCCACCUGGGGAGUACGUU